rnacentral:lncRNA from 1 species
CCACUCCCCACAAAAUCAGGAGCCUGAUUAGCAAAGAGAUGGAGUCUCGCUCUGUCGUCCAGGCUGGAGUGCAGUGGCAUGAUCUUGGCUCACCGCAACCUCUGCCUCCCGGGUUCACGCCUUUCUUCUGCCUCAACCUCCCGAGUAGCUGGGACUGCAGGCACCCGCCACCACGGCUGGCUAAUUUUUUGUAUUUUUAGUAGAGACGGCGUUUCGCUGUGUUCGCCAGGAUGGUCUCAAUCUCCUGACCUCAUGAUCCGCCCGCCUCGGCCUCCCAAAGUGCUGGGAUUACAGGCGUGAGCCACCGCGCCCAGCUGAUGUGGUCCAAUUCUUAACCAAAGGAAUGGGUAGACCAGAAAUACGGUUUGCCACUGUCCUCUGGAGUGUGUUUUCUUUGACUUCGUGGAGUUGUUUCUUUAAGUAUGAACAAGUCAAAUAACCAGGUUAGAGGGAAAAAAAAUGGCACCCACCAUGGGAAUGUGGACGAGGUGAUGAAUUUAUUGAAAGUAGCAACAUUUACCUUACGGAAAAAAAUAAAUGCUUGGAAUAUUUCCUUCAUGUAAAUUUGGAUUGUGAUGAAAAAUUUACGUACGAAAUAGGGUGUAUUCUCUACUGCAUGAUGGCUG